GAACUCAAAGAUCCAACACACUUAAAUCUCAAAUUCCUAAAAUUCUAGUCUCUGCAAUUGUCAGCAUUACCCCUAAAAAAUCAGCUCGCGAUCUGAGACCUUCCCUUCUUUAAUUUUCGUUACACCACAAUCCACCGUGAAUCGUUUCUUUACUUUCGACACCGUUUCAGGGGUAACAAAGCCGUCGGACAAAUCCCAGGAACAACAGCCAAGACGAGUAUCCAGGACCUUCCCAACGAGUAUAUCAGGACCUUUCCAACGAGUAGAUAAUUUCCGCAAAGAUCUGUCGAGGAUCGAGCGAAAACGAUAGACGGAAAGGCACGCGAGUACACGAAGAUAUAAAAAAUGGUGACGCGAUACGUAGACAAGGCAGUGACCAAGCGUAGAGGUCGAGCCUCUGAAUUCGAGCUACUGAAAGCCAACGAGCGGUUCAUCCCUCGUCAGUUUGGCGAAGGGCUGUCAAGAACGGACACGUUGGUCCUGUACAAAAGGAGCGAUUUAGCCGCGCGAAGUGCUACGUCAUCGAGUACGGGAGGUCCAACGAUGAGGUCCCGAAUUAUUAUUAUGUCUGUGAGAACGUAUCUCUCGGCCUGUCAGGCCGGUUCUGGUCGAGAAAGACAUACCACUCGAGACACCGGCAGCUAAAUUUGUUUGCGCCCGAUGAAAUUCCUUGGAAAAUUGAUGAAAAUUUUCUUGGUGGAGCCUUCGGUGACCUCUGGUUUUGAGAUUCAAUAAAUUUGCAUGUAGCUUUUAUAAAUUAAGGGAAGGUACCAACUUAAAAUGACCAUCGUAGCUUCUGUACUGAGUCCUUUUAUCUAAAGAAAUUAAGUAGUUGAGAGUCAGAGAGUAAACCAACGAUGACUUUGAAAUCCGCGUUUAUCAGUCACCCUCAGUACAUUUGAAAUUUGAUAAAUUUUUAUGACACCGUGUGAAACUGUUGCAUCUAUAAUCACUGAAAAAACGCUCGAAACCAACACAUUUUUCCUCGUCGACAAUGUAGCCUUUGAAAGGUUAAAAGAUGUCGGAUCAAUUGAUGUUUAAUGGACUCUUCGAACAACUUCCUAGCGAACGCUCAGCUUCCGAGUCAUCGAUGAAACGUUUGAAGAUUUCCUUUGAGAGGAAUGUGAACCAGGACAAUGGAAAGCGAUCGAAGAACGACGGAUUCAGCGUUUCGACGGAAGUUCUGCGAACACGGGGGUGGAUCGAGGACCCGUGAAUCUCAUUAAGCAAAUUGACGUUGUCGAACCCGCCUACCUGACCACCGUAGUCGAAUGUCCCAUUAGGAUGAAUCUGACUGACGUGAACAUAUAAUUAUAGAGUAUCACGAAUGAUGGACAAACUAUCCUCCGAUGAAACGUGGACCAAUUUACUCGUCGUGCAACUUCAACACCAUAGAAUGCAAAAGAAUGUACAUAACUUCUUCUUCGUUCGCUAUAGUUUCACAGGGAAGAAGAGCUUAUAGAGGGAAUAUCUGACAAUUCAUUAGAGUAUAAGAAUAUAUAGAAAGUCUAGAGAUAACGUUACGUAAAAAAAUGGUGAUUCGAAUCUUUUCUAACCGUAGCUCAGAGAAAUUGAAUUUGGGAAAUGUUCCCAGUGAAUGCGCAUCGAGUCGUGGCAGACUCUCGCAGCGACGAGGGUCGUCCGAGCUUAUUUGUUUAACUAAAAUCUCUCGUAGUGUCCGGUAGCCACGCAUUUCGGGGCCGAGGAUCGAUACUUGUCUAGCGGUUGAACAAAGUGGCGCGUGCGGCGGACAGAAAUCCAAGGAGACGAACAUCUGUUGACACAAGUCCGAAGGACGCGGCUUUGUUGGUCGACGAUCUUUUCAGAAGCUCGAAACGCGAGGAACUCGAAAAACCUCCUCGAUGCCCUCGAGCAUGACUCUCGUACACGCUCGUGUGAGAGCUAGAUCCUAGCUGGACACGCAUACUUAAACGGAUAGUCGCGAGAGGCGUUGAUUAUUCUACUUUUCAACAAUCGGUACCGAUGCAGUGGUAAUGAAGGAGAAUUUUCGGACGACGACGCCAUUACUUAUUUCGUACGAUGAUGAAUAUGGUCGCUAAACGAUAUAGGGGAAGAAGGCCCAACUAUUCACGUUUCAAGUUUACUGUUCUUAAAACUGUAUAGCGCUGUGACUUUCCUAAGAAAAAUGGCGACACAGAAUGAGUGGUAACAUGAACUCUGUAGUAAUUACAUAGUAACGUGGAUAGCGUGGUAAUGUGUAUUGAGCAAUACUUAUAUCGCAUGUAGCAACCCCGGACUCUUGUAUGACUACAUGCAAGAUUCCGCUGUCUAAUUAAAACAAGAAUAGAAUAGAUACGGACACGUCGAAACGUAUACUGUUACAAGCGACGGAACAAUUCAUGAGUCUACAGUCACGAGACGACGAUACGAACAAGACUACUGUGGACAUUGAAACACGAGUCCGACGCUUCAUCGAUACCUAAAUGGACUAAGUGCGAGCUGGUCUCGAAGUCGAUAAAAGCGGGACAGACGUGCCUCGUCGAAGGCGAAAGGGAUGAUCGCGUGCAACUCGUGAAAGAACUCCCGAGAAUCGAGACUAUUUACUUCCAUCCACGAUUCUCCUUUUCCCGAACAAAUUUUCUACUUGCGCGAUCCACGUAUCAAGCGUUUCAAAACGCAUCCGUGUAAAAUUGGUCUCGUUUGAGGGAAACGAUUAGGAAAUUAGGAGACGGAGAGGACUGUAAUCCCUACGAUACUCCAUUGUUAU